rnacentral:rRNA from 1 species
AACGAACGCUGGCGGCAUGCCUAACACAUGCAAGUCGAACGAGACCUUCGGGUCUAGUGGCGCACGGGUGCGUAACGCGUGGGAACCUGCCCUUAGGUUCGGAAUAACUCCCCGAAAGGGGUACUAAUACCGGAUAAUGUCUUCGGACCAAAGAUUUAUCGCCUUUGGAUGGGCCCGCGUUGGAUUAGCUAGUUGGUAGGGUAAAAGCCUACCAAGGCGACGAUCCAUAGCUGGUCUGAGAGGAUGAUCAGCCACACUGGGACUGAGGCACGGCCCAGACUCCUACGGGAGGCAGCAGUGGGGAAUAUUGGACAAUGGGCGAAAGCCUGAUCCAGCAAUGCCGCGUGAGUGAUGAAGGCCUUAGGGUUGUAAAGCUCUUUUACCCGGGAUGAUAAUGACAGUACCGGGAGAAUAAGCUCCGGCUAACUCCGUG